rnacentral:rRNA from 1 species
GGACUACUAGGGUAUCUAAUCCUGUUCGCUCCCCACGCUUUCGCUCCUCAGCGUCAGUAUCGGCCCAGAGACCCGCCUUCGCCACCGGUGUUCCUCCUGAUAUCUGCGCAUUUCACCGCUACACCAGGAAUUCCAGUCUCCCCUACCGAACUCGAGCCUGCCCGUAUCGAAUGCAAGCCCGAAGUUGAGCCUCGGGUUUUCACAUUCGACGCGACAAGCCGCCUACGAGCUCUUUACGCCCAAUAAAUCCGGACAACGCUCGCGCCCUACGUCUUACCGCGGCGGCUGGCAC